UACGUAGGGUCCGAGCGUUGUCCGGAAUUACUGGGCGUAAAGAGCUCGUAGGUGGUUUGUCGCGUUGUCCGUGAAAACUCACAGCUCAACUGUGGGCGUGCGGGCGAUACGGGCAGACUGGAGUACUGCAGGGGAGACUGGAAUUCCUGGUGUAGCGGUGAAAUGCGCAGAUAUCAGGAGGAACACCGGUGGCGAAGGCGGGGUCUCUGGGGCCGAUACUGACGCUGAGGAGCGAAAGCGUGGGGGAGCGAACAGG
rnacentral:rRNA from 1 species